AUCAUUGGAGAGUUUGAUCCUGGCUCAGGACGAACGCUGGCGGCGUGCCUAACACAUGUAAGUCGCACGGGACUCGGGGGGCAACUCUCGAGUUCAGUGGCAGACGGGUGCGUAACACGUGAGAAACUUGUCCAACGGCGGGGGAUAGCCGGCCCA
rnacentral:rRNA from 1 species